rnacentral:misc_RNA from 1 species
UUAACUAUUAUAUAGUACUCAGACUUCAUAUACAAACAGAGUUUAGGUCCUCUGGCAGACGCGAGCCGGCCGGAGCCAGCAGCCCGAGGGCAGGCUUGCCAAAGCAACAAAGUGUAAUAAACAAAGGGUGGUAGGUUACCCGGGAGGCCUUGCGGCAACCCAGGCGACUACUGUAAUGAUCCUUCCGCAGGUUCACCUACGGAAA